UAUGUAUUUUUCAGCAACUGUAUUUUGGUUAUUUUACAAUAUUUUUCAUCAACUCGAUUGAAUAUUUUUAAACCUUUUAUGGUUUUUCACAAGAAAUGCAAUAUUCAUGUGAAAUUCCGUACCGUACUAAUUAUGACAGGCGAUUAGCGAUUUUAUCAAGAAUUUUAAUCUGUAGUUUAGAAGGGACUAUCUUGAGGGAAGGCAAUAUCCUUUCAUAAAAUAUGACACAAUUACCUGCUAGCAAACACCUUUGGCAUGAGAAAGGAAAUACCUUCCUCUAAGCCUUACCUGAAUGCAAGAGAUUAUUUUAAAAGCAUUGCGUUAGAGCUAUAAAAACACUGGUUUACGGAAAGCAUUUUAACACUUCAAUACUGGAAAUAGAGGCUGACACAUAUCUUUUAAAACAGUGUUAUUUUCAAAGUAAUCGGUAAGAAAUUAGUUCAACAUGGAUUCACAAGAGCCACGUAAUAACAAUGAGAAUUUCUACUACAUUGCCAAAGAUAGAUCAUUCAAUUCAAGCGGUUAUCUGUCGGAGGACAAUACCAGCAUUAUGGUAUCGUGGGACGAAGAUAGUUUCUAUAUUAAUGACCAAAACGAGGACAAUGUACCGAUACUUGAUGAGUCAUCGGUCUCAGCGAAUUCGGUUUGAUCCAGCGAUGCCACAGUUAAAAGGGAAUUCAAAUUUAUAAAAUUCUCCUAAUUUAAGCUGUACGUGAAAUGAGGAUCAAUCCGAAUAUAGUUCCUUAAGAGAUUUGUAAUUAAUAAAUAGGGUAUACGUGUGUAUCGAUAUCUUCUGAAAAUGAGAUGUAAAAUAUGAAAAUGAAAAAAAAAAAAACAAAAAUUAUAAUUUUAAAUAAAUAAGAGCAACUUUUAUAAAAAAA